rnacentral:rRNA from 1 species
GUGCGUAUUUUUCCCGAGUAGCAGCGGGCUCGUGGAAUCUGCUGUGAAUCUGCCGGGACCACCCGGUAAGCCUGAAUACUUGGCGUGACCGAUAGUGUAGUUAGUACCGUGAGGGAAGGGUGAAAAGUACCCCGGGAGGGGAGUGAAAUAGUUCCUGAAACCGUGUGCUUACAAUCCGUCAUAGCCCCCUGUGUGGGGUGGUGGCGUGCCUUUUGAAGAAUGAGCCUGCGAGUCAGCGGCAUGUCGCGAGGUUAACCCGUGUGUGUGGGGUAGUCGUAGCGAAAGCGAAUCCUAAUGAGGGUGUGUUAAGUGGCAUGUUCUGGACCCGAAGCGGGGUGAUCUACCCAUGGCCAGUGUGAAGCGGUGGUAAAACAUUGUGGAGGCGCGAACCCACUUAGGUUGAAAACUGAGGGGAUGAGCUGUGGGUAGGGGUGAAAGGCCAAUCAAACUCCGUGAUAGCUGGUUCUCCCCGAAAUGCAUUUAGGUGCAGCGUUGCGUGGUUGUUGUUGGUGGUAGAGCGACUGGUUGGUUGAUGCGGGACGAUCAUCUUAGCGAUGCCAGCUAAACUCCGAAUGCCAAUAAUAUGCGAGCGUGGCAGUGAGACGGCGGGGGAUAAGCUCCGUGACGUCGAGAGGGAAACAGCCCAGAUCGUCGGUUAAGGCCCCUAAGGGUGUGCUGAGUGGAAAAGGAGGUGUCAUCGCGAAGACAGCCAGGAGGUUGGCUUAGAAGCAGCCAUCCUUGAAAGAGUGCGUAAUAGCUCACUGGUUAAGUGGUGAUGCGCCGAUAAUGUAGUGGGGCUUAUAAAGUACACCGCCGAAACCGCGGCAACACACAGUGUGUGUGUUGGGUAGGGGAGCGUCGUGCACGUGUGGAAGCUGUCAUGUAAGUGGUGGUGGAGUGUGUGCGAGUGAGAAUGCAGGCAUGAGUAGCGAAAAACAUGUGGAAAACGUGUUCGCCGGAUGACUAAGGGUUCCUGGGUGAAGCUAAUCUUCCCAGGGUGAGUCGGGACCUAAGGCGAGGCCGACAGGCGUAGUCGAUGGAUAACGGGUUGAUAGUCCCGUACCCGUGUAUGCGCGACAAGUGGUGACUCGGUUGUACUAACCACCCACCACCAUUGAUGUUCACACGUUGUGUGUUUGUUGGUGUGUGGUGCGUGGGAUCUUGAUCGUUGGUAGCCAAGCGAUGGGGUGACACAGAUUGGUAGUCAAGGCCACUGAGUGGAUUGUGGUGUAAGCGUGUGGCCCGUAGGAUAGGUAAAUCCGUUCUGCAUUUAUGGGUGAGGCGUGAUGCGUACCCAGGUUUGGGGAUGUUUGAUGUGCCUGUGCUGUCGAGAAAAGCCUCUAGCGAUGUGUGUGCACGGCCCGUACCGGAAACCGACACAGGUGGUCUGGUUGAGGAUACUAAGGCGUUCGGGUGAACUAUGGUUAAGGAACUCGGCAAAAUGCCCCCGUAACUUCGGGAGAAGGGGGGCCAUGUGCGGCAAUCACCCUGUGCGGUGUGCGUUGUGUGUGGCCGCAGAGAAGUGAGGGAAGCGACUGUUUAUUAAAAACACAGGUCCGUGCGAAGACGUUGCAAGUCGAGGUAUACGGACUGACGCCUGCCCGGUGCUGGAAGGUUAAGAGGACUCGUGAGCACACCACUUGGUGUGUGAGGCGGGUAAUUGAAGCCCCAGUAAACGGCGGUGGUAACUAUAACCAUCCUAAGGUAGCGAAAUUCCUUGUCGGGUAAGUUCCGACCUGCACGAAUGGCGUAACGAC